rnacentral:rRNA from 1 species
UUUUAUGGAGAGUUUGAUCCUGGCUCAGGAUGAACGCUGGCGGCGUGCCUAAUACAUGCAAGUCGAGCGAACGGACGAGAAGCUUGCUUCUCUGAUGUUAGCGGCGGACGGGUGAGUAACACGUGGAUAACCUACCUAUAAGACUGGGAUAACUUCGGGAAACCGGAGCUAAUACCGGAUAAUAUUUUGAACCGCAUGGUUCAAAAGUGAAAGACGGUCUUGCUGUCACUUAUAGAUGGAUCCGCGCUGCAUUAGCUAGUUGGUAAGGUAACGGCUUACCAAGGCAACGAUGCAUAGCCGACCUGAGAGGGUGAUCGGCCACACUGGAACUGAGACACGGUCCAGACUCCUACGGGAGGCAGCAGUAGGGAAUCUUCCGCAAUGGGCGAAAGCCUGACGGAGCAACGCCGCGUGAGUGAUGAAGGUCUUCGGAUCGUAAAACUCUGUUAUUAGGGAAGAACAUAUGUGUAAGUAACUGUGC